rnacentral:rRNA from 1 species
UCCUGGCUUAGGAUGAACGCUAGCUACAGGCUUAACACAUGCAAGUCGAGGGCAGCAUGGAAGUUGCUUGCAACUUCUGAGUGGCGACCGGCGCACGGGUGAGUAACGCGUAUCCAACCUUCCCCAUAGUAGAGGAUAGCCCGGCGAAAGUCGGAUUUAAUACUCUAUGUUCUUCGAAGAGGACAUCUGAUUUUGAAGCAAAGAUUUAUCGCUAUGGGAUGGGGAUGCGUCUGAUUAGCUUGAUGGCAGGGUAACGGCCCACCAUGGCGACGAUCAGUAGGGUUCUGAGAGGAAGGUCCCCCACAUUGGUACUGAGACACGGACCAAACUCCUACGGGAGGCAGCAGUGAGGAAUAUUGGUCAAUGGACGAGAGUCUGAACCAGCCAAGUAGCGUGCAGGACGACUGCCCUAUGGGUUGUAAACUGCUUUUAUAGGGGAAUAAAGUCCACUACGUGUAGUGGUUUGUAUGUACCCUAUGAAUAAGGACCGGCUAAUUCCGUGCCAGCAGCUGC